rnacentral:sRNA from 1 species
UUACCAGAUCAGACCGGCGGGUAGGUGAU